rnacentral:rRNA from 1 species
UGGGGAAUAUUGCGCAAUGGGCGAAAGCCUGACGCAGCAACGCCGCGUGGGGGAUGAAGGCCUUCGGGUUGUAAACCCCUUUCAGCAGGGACGAAGCGAAAGUGACGGUACCUGCAGAAGAAGCGCCGGCUAACUACGUGCCAGCAGCCGCGGUAAUACGUAGGGCGCAAGCGUUGUCCGGAAUCAUUGGGCGUAAAGAGCUCGUAGGUGGUCUGUUACGUCUGCUGUGAAAUCCUAGGGCUUAACCCUGGGCCUGCAGUGGAUACGGGCAGACUAGAGGUAGGUAGGGGAGAAUGGAAUUCCCGGUGUAGCGGUGAAAUGCGCAGAUAUCGGGAGGAACACCGGUGGCGAAGGCGGUUCUCUGGGCCUUACCUGACACUGAGGAGCGAAAGCGUGGGGAGCGAACAGG